UACGAAGGGUGCAAGCGUUACUCGGAAUUACUGGGCGUAAAGCGUGCGUAGGUGGUUCGUUAAGUCUGAUGUGAAAGCCCUGGGCUCAACCUGGGAAUGGCAUUGGAUACUGGCGGGCUAGAGUGCGGUAGAGGGCAGUGGAAUUCCCGGUGUAGCAGUGAAAUGCGUAGAGAUCGGGAGGAACAUCUGUGGCGAAGGCGACUGCCUGGACCAGCACUGACACUGAGGCACGAAAGCGUGGGGAGCAAACAGG
rnacentral:rRNA from 3 species